AGGUGAUGAUGUGGUACAAUCUCA
rnacentral:miRNA from 1 species